rnacentral:rRNA from 1 species
AUAGAACGCUGGCGGCAGGCCUAACACAUGCAAGUCGAGCGGAUGAAGGGAGCUUGCUCCUGGAUUCAGCGGCGGACGGGUGAGUAAUGCCUAGGAAUCUGCCUGGUAGUGGGGGAUAACGUCCGGAAACGGGCGCUAAUACCGCAUACGUCCUGAGGGAGAAAGUGGGGGAUCUUCGGACCUCACGCUAUCAGAUGAGCCUAGGUCGGAUUAGCUAGUUGGUGGGGUAAAGGCCUACCAAGGCGACGAUCCGUAACUGGUCUGAGAGGAUGAUCAGUCACACUGGAACUGAGACACGGUCCAGACUACUACGGGAGGCAGCAGUGGGGAAUAUUAGACAAUGGGCGAAAGCCUGAUCCAGCCAUGCCGCGUGUGUGAAGAAGGUCUUCGGAUUGUAAAGCACUUUAAGUUGGGAGGAAGGGCAGUAAGUUAAUACCUUGCUGUUUUGACGUUACCAACAGAAUAAGCACCGGCUAACUUCGUG